UAAUAAGUGUUUUAUGGCACUUUUUAAAUCCAUAUCCACCUUGUGUGCAAUGUCAGUCGAUCUUCUUCAUGGAGAUCGACCAAACAUCAACCUUUAUCUUUUAACUCUUUGUCUGAAAAAUAUUGUGAAUAACAAUUCAAAAUA
rnacentral:misc_RNA from 1 species